rnacentral:rRNA from 1 species
CAAUAGCGUAUAUUAAAGUUGUUGCAGUUAAAAAGCUCGUAGUUGGAUUUGUGGCGUACGGUGUGUUCCGGGCACUUGUUGUCUGAGUAACCUGCUGUUGCCAUCCUUGGGUGGAACCUGUGUGGCAUUAGGUUGUCGUGCAGGGGAUGCCCAUCAUUUACUGUGAAAAAAUUAGAGCGUUCAAAGCAGGCUUAUGCCGUUGAAUAUAUUAGCAUGGAAUAAUGAGAUAGGACUUUUUUGCUAUUUUGUUGGUUUGCGCAAGAAGGUAAUGAUUAAUAGGGACAGUUGGGGGUAUUCGUAUUCCAUUGUCAGAGGUGAAAUUCUUGGAUUUUUGGAAGACGAACUACUGCGAAAGCAUUUACCAAGGAUGUUUUCAUUAA